rnacentral:rRNA from 1 species
CCUACGGGGGGCUGCAGUGGGGAAUAUUGGACAAUGGGGGGAACCCUGAUCCAGCCAUGCCGCGUGUGUGAAGAAGGCCCUCGGGUUGUAAAGCACUUUCAGCGAGGAAGAACGCCUGGUGGUUAAUACCCAUCAGGAAAGACAUCACUCACAGAAGAAGCACCGGCUAACUCCGUGCCAGCAGCCGCGGUAAUACGGAGGGUGCGAGCGUUAAUCGGAAUUACUGGGCGUAAAGCGCGCGUAGGUGGCUUGAUAAGCCGGUUGUGAAAGCCCCGGGCUCAACCUGGGAACGGCAUCCGGAACUGUCAAGCUAGAGUGCAGGAGAGGAAGGUAGAAUUCCCGGUGUAGCGGUGAAAUGCGUAGAGAUCGGGAGGAAUACCAGUGGCGAAGGCGGCCUUCUGGACUGACACUGACACUGAGGUGCGAAAGCGUGGGUAGCAAACAGGAUUAGAUACCCCAGUAGUC